rnacentral:rRNA from 1 species
CACGUAGGCGGCUUCUUAAGUCAGGGGUGAAAUCCUGGAGCUCAACUCCAGAACUGCCUUUGAUACCGAGAAGCUUGAGUCCGGGAGAGGUGAGUGGAACUGCGAGUGUAGAGGUGAAAUUCGUAGAUAUUCGCAAGAACACCAGUGGCGAAGGCGGCUCACUGGCCCGGUACUGACGCUGAGGUGCGAAAGCGUGGGGAGCAAACA